rnacentral:lncRNA from 1 species
GCAUGUUUGGAGUAGAAGUCAGAGUGUCCAAUAACACAUAAUACUGUAUACUGCUGUUGAUGCCAAGUCCGUAUGGAACUGGAUCAGAUGGAGCUUUGCCUAGCACCAGUCUUCUUCCUCCACUGUCACACUGCUCUCCUUUCUCCCACUGCAGCCAUGAAUAAAGAAUUUUGAAAGUGCUGGAGAAGUUGGAGGAGAAUUCAUCCUAGCAAGAAGAAAAUGUUUUGGGCUAAGAAAGCACCCACUAAAAGCAAACUGAAUUUGCAAGUGGUUUCAGUGUCAUUGAAAUCAUAGCACCUGGC